CUACGGGACGCACCAGUGGGGAAUCUUAGACAAUGGGGGAAACCCUGAUCUAGCCAUGCCGCGUGAGCGACGACGGCCCUAGGGUUGUAAAGCUCUUUCAGCAGGGAAGAUAAUGACGGUACCUGCAGAAGAAGUCCCGGCUAACUCCGUGCCAGCAGCCGCGGUAAUACGGAGGGGACUAGCGUUGUUCGGAAUUACUGGGCGUAAAGCGCGCGUAGGCGGAUUGUUAAGUCGGGGGUGAAAUCCCGGGGCUCAACCCCGGAACUGCCCUCGAUACUGGCAGCCUUGAGUUCGAGAGAGGUGAGUGGAAUUCCGAGUGUAGAGGUGAAAUUCGUAGAUAUUCGGAGGAACACCAGUGGCGAAGGCGGCUCACUGGCUCGAUACUGACGCUGAGGUGCGAAAGCGUGGGGAGCAAACAGGAUUAGAUACCCCAGUAGUC
rnacentral:rRNA from 1 species